AACUGUUUCAAAAGUACCCUCUGAAACUUAAUUUUUGUUCUUGAAAAUUGAUCUGUGUUGCAUAUUUACAUAGGGAUAAAUAAAGAUUUAAGGGCAAAUAUACAAAAGGUUAUCUUCUGAAAAUACAGAAAGUCUUUAGAAGGAAAUAUCUUCUUUGUGUGACUGUAAUGGAAAGAAACCAGUAUGCUUCUGAAUAUCCCAUUAGAUAUUUAUUAGAUUACAUUAGAUAUGUAUUCCCAGACUUCUAAACAUUUUUUAAGGCUUUUUUUUUUUUUCAUUAGAACUAUAUUUGAGAGAUGGAACACACACCUUUUGCAUCUAGCUUUCAUAGAUACGCUACCGAGCUCCGUUAUGUACUAGAAGAAGGGAAGACUGGAAGUGUUAAGAUACUUAAGGUGCAGAUGCCAGAAACAGUAAAGUGCCAUUGCCCUUCUGUUUUUACAUUCAGAGAAUCCAGAAUUGAUAGGAAAUCAUGUGUUCCAGAAUUGUAGCUCCUGGUGCUAAGUGGUAAUGCAGAAGGUGGGCUUCCUGCAGUAUUUGUGUGUGCUCUGGCCUCAGUGCUGCUGCUGCUGCUCCUUACUUGAACAGGCAGGUGGGACUCUUCAAAGGACUUUUUCUGGGAGGAAGACACAUAGAUCAUCCUCCAUCUCAUAUCUGGAUUGCAGAGAUUCUGUUACAUAUUCGUAUUUUUUUUUUAAAGUUCAGUGAACUUAUUCACUCUCUAUUAUUAAAAUAAAAUGUGGAAAUAAGAGAUCUAAAUACUAGUGAUCUGCUUUUCCUAAUCUGGGAUGUGUGCCUGGACAUAAAAGCACUCAUUUCCUUUGAUGAGUGAACACACCAGCUCCUUACAGUGUAGGACGCAGCCAAGGAAGGUACCUGUUGGGUAGUUCUGUGCUGCCUUUGGUAUUAAUGUUAUGCUUCAAAAACUAACAGAACAUUUAGUUGAUAUACUGUAUAUCUCUAUUAUGUAUAAUAUCUCCUCAUAAAUAUGCAUGCAUAACAAAACUGUGGCAAUUUGAGGAAUUUAUGUAGAACUUAUGAAUUCUCUUUGAUAUCAUGGGUUCUCCAGAUAUCUCUGUUUCAACCUGCACACUCUGUACUGAAAAGAGAACAGUUUUUUUUCCCAAGCUUUUUGGUGUAUUGAAUUUUCAAAGGGCCAACCAUGGAACAUCAUGAAAUGCUGACAACCUGAAGUCAAAUGGAUGAUUCUCAGACAAAAAGAGUUAGCAAUUGCUCAGAAUGAUUUAUUUGCCAAAGUGGAUUAGUCACUAAAAUGUGGACCACAUCCUGAGGAAACCUGGUGAUGCUCACAGAGAAAGAAAAGUUCAAAAAGGAGGAAGGUAGCCUAAUGGCCACUCUGAAAUGAGACAGAAAUGAGAAGAAAAAGUGUGUUGUAGAAAUGUAAGAAGUGUUUUUCUGCUGUCACAAGCAGCCAGAGGCAAUUGAGUGGAUAGAAUUUGUGGAAACACAAGGCUAGAUGUACAUGUACUUUUGACUAAUUUGGGUGAGUUAUAUAAUGGAGUUGGGAUAGCUUUGGGUAGAUACAGGGAGGAGGAGAAGAGAGCUAUAGUUACAGCCUUAGUUUGAAACUUUCAGACUUUUGCUUCACUUUGCAGUCUCGGAGUACAAUUCUGGACCUGCUUAUAUCAAAACAAUUUUAAGGUGAAGUGGUUUUUUGAUCUUUAAGCCCACUAACCUUUACUUUAAAAUCUGCUAAACUGGGGAUAUAGAUAUUCAAAUAUGGGUCCUAAUGAAUAGAUAGAGUAAGGCACAUUUCAAAACAAUGCUAAAUGCCUCUUUUUAUUGUAAAAAUGUGUCUUAAAUCAUGCCUAGAGAUUUCUGAAAUUGAACAAUAUAAAAACGAUGAAUAAUGACUAGUACUAAGAAUAUGCUGAGAUUUAAACACUGGGUUUCUAAAUGCACAAAGGAAGA